rnacentral:rRNA from 1 species
AGAACGAACGCUGGCGGCAUGGAUUAGGCAUGCAAGUCGAACGGGAGCAGCAAUGCUCCAGUGGCGCAAGGGUGAGGAACACGUGAACAACCUGCCUUCGAGUUGGGGAUAGCUUCUGGAAACGGGAGAUAAUACCGAAUAACAUCACCGGAUCGCAUGAUCUGGUGAUCAAAGCAGCAAUGCGCUUGAAGAGGGGUUCGCGUCCCAUUAGCUAGUUGGUGAGGUAACGGCCCACCAAGGCGAUGAUGGGUAGCUGGUCUGAGAGGACGAUCAGCCACAUUGGGACUGAGAUACUGCCCAGACUCCUACGGGAGGCUGCAGUCGAGAAUUUCGGGCAAUGGACGAAAGUCUGACCCAGCAAUGCCGCGUGCGGGAUGAAGGUCUUCGGAUUGUAAACCGCUGUCAAGAGGGACGAAAUUUGACGGUACCUCUGGAGGAAGCCACGGCUAACUACGUGCCAGCCGCGGC